UACGGAGGGUGCGAGCGUUGUUCGGAUUUACUGGGCGUAAAGGGCGCGUAGGCGGUCUUAUAAGCCAGAUGUGAAAGCCCACGGCUCAACCGUGGAAGUGCAUCUGGAACUGUAAGACUUGAGUACUGGAGGGGAGUGUGGAAUUCCCGGUGUAGAGGUGAAAUUCGUAGAUAUCGGGAGGAAUACCGGUGGCGAAGGCGACACUCUGGACAGAUACUGACGCUGAGGCGCGAAAGCGUGGGGAGCAAACAGG
rnacentral:rRNA from 1 species